rnacentral:lncRNA from 1 species
GGCUACAGGUGUGCCUGACCACACUUGGGGACUGUGUUUCUCUUUCGAUUUCACUUUGGUACUUGUGGUACAGACUGCUGCCACACUGGCUGGCUAGGUCUCUCUCUGCCACCCAUCACUACCAAACGCCGUGGACUAACUGAACACCUGUGCCACCCACUGGUCAAAGAUAGUUACUGCAUCUGGAGUAGAAAUCAGGUAAAAUUAUGGCGGAAUAUUUAUCAUUUGCUAAAUUUGGUAAUAUUUUUGCUUAUUACGUGAAUUCAAUGUUUGAGGAGGAUGCUAAUCUGCCAAUUACUGGCCUAUUUGCCAUAAUGGAAGUUAGCUUGCUGGUACAAAUAAUAUUACUAGCCAGAGGACUCAGGAAUAGGGAUAAGGAUAACCUCACCACCUACUUACAGGAAAUAACAGCUUUACGCAGUGAGGUUUUGGAGAACAGAUUAGGUCAGACCACAAUUGUGCAGCAAGUGGAACAGAAAUUGGAUGAUAAGCUUGGCUUUGUGUCCAAUACGCUAAAGACAGAGCUGUCUGUUACCCAAGAUGAGAUGCAGCGUAUUUAUGCCAUGUCUGAGGCCUUAGAGGCUAGGCUGUCAGAAGACCGUGAUGAGCUAAAGAAUAUCUGUAGCCAGCUAGAAACUCAGGCAAUGUUACCCAGAAAUUAGAUGCAAAGGUGCAAAAUACCCAGGAUAGGGUUGAAGAAUUGGACAAUGCCAUUCAAUCAAUUAUUGAAGUAUCCAAGGUAGCAGAUCAGAAAUUUGAGUCUAGAUUUGAAUGUUUGGAAGAUAAUUUACAGUACAG